rnacentral:rRNA from 1 species
AUGGAGCUCAGCGACAGCGAGCUGGCGGGGGUGAAGAGCUACAGAGAGUACUUGGCCUGUGAUUUGUUGAGAUACUUGCAAGAUACUCUUCCCAGGAGAUCCAUGCAGAUCUUCUCCAUCAAAGUCACCGACCUAAGAUAUGGUCUCAUCUGGCCACUGCAGAUUUAUGGCUCUGUUGCUUUCAGGAACUCAAUAGGACAUAAAGCCAACUAUCUCUUCAGAUGCACCAGGGAUAGCUUCCAAACCAUCACUCAGAAGGAUCCAUUUUUGCGCUUAACAGGCCCGUCUCAAGCAUUUGGUUACUUGGCAGGGUUUUCAUUGAUGUUCAGUUAA